AUGGUGAAACCGCGAAUGGCUCAUUAAAUCAGCUAUGGUUCCUUAGAUCUUACUUCCUUACUUGGAUAACUGUAGUAAUUCUAGAGCUAAUACAUGCUAAAAGCCCUGACUUAACAGAAGGGCGGAUUUAUUAGAACAAAACCAACCGACUUCGGUCGUUGGCUUGAUGACUCUGGAUAACUUUUCUGAUCGCACGGCCUAGUGCCAGCGACGUAUCUUUCAAAUGUCUGCCCUAUCAACUAUCGAUGGUAGGUGAUAUGCCUACCAUGGUUAUGACGGGUAACGGGGAAUCAGGGUUCGAUUCCGGAGAGGGAGCCUUAGAAAUGGCUACCACAUCUAAGGAAGGCAGCAGGCGCGCAAAUUACCCACUCUCAGCUCGAGGAGGUAGUGACGAAAAAUAACGAUGCGGGACUCUCAUGAGGCCUCGCAAUUGGAAUGAGUACAAUUUAAAUCCUUUAACGAGGAUCUAUUGGAGGGCAAGUCUGGUGCCAGCAGCCGCGGUAACUCCAGCUCCAAUAGCGUAUAU
rnacentral:rRNA from 2 species